rnacentral:rRNA from 1 species
AUGAACGCUAGCUACAGGCUUAACACAUGCAAGUCGAGGGGCAGCAUGGUCUUAGCUUGCUAAGGCCGAUGGCGACCGGCGCACGGGUGAGUAACACGUAUCCAACCUGCCGUCUACUCUUGGACAGCCUUCUGAAAGGAAGAUUAAUACAAGAUGGCAUCAUGAGUCCGCAUGUUCACAUGAUUAAAGGUAUUCCGGUAGACGAUGGGGAUGCGUUCCAUUAGAUAGUAGGCGGGGUAACGGCCCACCUAGUCUUCGAUGGAUAGGGGUUCUGAGAGGAAGGUCCCCCACAUUGGAACUGAGACACGGUCCAAACUCCUACGGGAGGCAGCAGUGAGGAAUAUUGGUCAAUGGGCGAGAGCCUGAACCAGCCAAGUAGCGUGAAGGAUGACUGCCCUAUGGGUUGUAAACUUCGUUUAUAAAGGAAUAAAGUCGGGUAUGGAUACCCGUUUGCAUGUACUUUAUGAAUAAGGAUCGGCUAACUCCGUGCCAGCAGCCGCGGUAAUACGGAGGAUCCGAGCGUUAUCCGGAUUUAUUGGGUUUAAAGGGAGCGUAGAUGGAUGUUUAAGUCAGUUGUGAAAGUUUGCGGCUCAACCGUAAAAUUGCAGUUGAUACUGGAUAUCUUGAGUGCAGUUGAGGCAGGCGGAAUUCGUGGUGUAGCGGUGAAAUGCUUAGAUAUCACGAAGAACUCCGAUUGCGAAGGCAGCCUGCUAAGCUGCAACUGACAUUGAGGCUCGAAAGUGUGGGUAUCAAACAGGAUUAGAUACCCUGGUAGUCCACACGGUAAACGAUGAAUACUCGCUGUUUGCGAUAUACGGCAAGCGGCCAAGCGAAAGCGUUAAGUAUUCCACCUGGGGAGUACGCCGGCAACGGUGAAACUCAAAGGAAUUGACGGGGGCCCGCACAAGCGGAGGAACAUGUGGUUUAAUUCGAUGAUACGCGAGGAACCUUACCCGGGCUUAAAUUGCAGAUGAAUUACGGUGAAAGCCGUAAGCCGCAAGGCAUCUGUGAAGGUGCUGCAUGGUUGUCGUCAGCUCGUGCCGUGAGGUGUCGGCUUAAGUGCCAUAACGAGCGCAACCCUUGUUGUCAGUUACUAACAGGUUCCGCUGAGGACUCUGACAAGACUGCCAUCGUAAGAUGUGAGGAAGGUGGGGAUGACGUCAAAUCAGCACGGCCCUUACGUCCGGGGCUACACACGUGUUACAAUGGGGGGGUACAGAGGGCCGCUACCACGCGAGUGGAUGCCAAUCCCCAAAACCUCUCUCAGUUCGGACUGGAGUCUGCAACCCGACUCCACGAAGCUGGAUUCGCUAGUAAUCGCGCAUCAGCCACGGCGCGGUGAAUACGUUCCCGGGCCUUGUACACACCGCCCGUCAAGCCAUGGGAGCCGGGGGUACCUGAAGUGCGUAACCGCGAGGAGCGCCCUAGGGUAAAACUGGUGACUGGGGCU